rnacentral:lncRNA from 1 species
AUGGGACGGGAAAGCAAAGCGUUCCCGUUCGUUUCAAUGAACUUUCUGGGGCCGCAGGGAUUGAUUUGGGCUUUUUNCAUGCACCAGGAGCAGAGCAUUGCAGGGUGCCAUGCUUUGCACCAGGGCGUUGCAGGGUGCCAUGCACCAGGAGCAGCGUGCUGGAGGGUGCCUUGCUUUGCACCAGGGCGUUGCAGGGUGCCGUGCUUUGCACCGAGGCGUUGCAUGGUGCCAUGCUUUGCACCAGGGUGUUGCAGGAUGCCAUGCACCAGGAGCAGAGCAUUGCAGGGUGCCAUGCUUUGCACCAAGGCGUUGCCGGAUGCCCUGCACCAGGAGCAGGGUGUUGCAGGGUGCCAUGCACCAGGAGCAGAACAUUGCAGGGUGCCAUGCACCAGGAGCAGAACAUUGCAGGGUGCCAUGCACCAGGAGCAGAACAUUGCAGGGUGCCAUGCUUUGCACCGAGGCAUUGCGGGGUGCCAUGCUUUGCACCGAGGCAUUGCAGGGUGCCAUGCUUUGCACCGAGGCAUUGCAGGGUGCCAUGCUUUGCACCGAGGCAUUGCAGGGCGCCAUGCACCAGGAGCAGGGUUUUGCAGGGUGCCUUGCACCAGGGCGUUGCAGGGUGCUGUGCCUUGUACCAAGGUGUUGCAGGGUGUCAUGCAUCAGGAGCGGAGCGUUGCAGGGUGCCCUGCUUUGCACCAGGGCGUUGCAGGGUGCCCUGCUUUGCACCGAGGCGUUGCAGGGUGCCAUGCUUUGCACCAGGGCGUUGCAGGGUGCUAUGCUUUGCACCAGGGCGUUGCAGGGUGCCAUGCACCAGGAGCAGGGUUUUGCAGGGUGCCUUGCACCGGGGUGUUGCAGGGUGCCAUGCUUUGCACCAGGGUCACAUUCUGGCAUUUGACACGUUGGGAUUUUUCCAACCUGGGGGGGCCCGAUGCGCCGCGUGGGUCCCCGGGGCUUUCUGGCUCCCCCUGGGACCUGCUGGCGGGUCACGGCCCGUUGGACGGUGUUUGCACCGAGCUGUUUGUCUGCUGCCUUCUUUUGAUUUGCGUGACUUUUUGGGCAGUUUUGCAUCACGGCCUGCUGGGAAAGGGUGCAGGAAGGGGAGCUGGAAACGUGGUUUCCGUGGGUUUUGUCCUGCGUGCUGGGUGGGGGUUUGCUCCAUUCCUGUGCGGCAGCAGCGUUUGGGGCUCCAGGGUCACCCCAACACCCUCCUGCUCACCCCCACCGGCCCUCGGGGUCCUCGGGACCGGAGCUGGGAGCACCCACGGGCAUCCCUGGAAGCAGGGAGCGGCAGCCACGUGUGCUCCCAGCCCGAGUCCCAUUGGGAUGGGAUCCCACUCUUGA